UAGGGAAUAUUGCACAAUGGGCGAAAGCCUGAUGCAGCAACGCCGCGUGCGCGAUGAAGGCCUUCGGGUCGUAAAGCGCUUUUCGGGGAGAUGAGGAAGGACAGUAUCCCCAGAAUAAGGAUCGGCUAACUACGUGCCAGCAGCCGCGGUAAAACGUAGGAUCCGAGCGUUAUCCGAAUUCACUGGGCGUAAAGCGCGUGCAGGCGGUUCGGUAAGUUGGAUGUGAAAUCUCCCGGCUCAACUGGGAGAGGACGUUCAAUACUGUCGGACUUGAGGACGGUAGAGGGAGGUGGAAUUCCCGGUGUAGUGGUGAAAUGCGUAGAUAUCGGGAGGAACACCAGUGGCGAAGGCGGCCUCCUGGACCGUUCCUGACGCUCAGACGCGAAAGCUAGGGGAGCAAACGGGAUUAGAAACCCCGGUAGUCCUAGCCGUAAACGAUGUAGACUUGGUGUCGGUGGUGUAAAAACCAUCGGUGCCGAAGCUAACGCGAUAAGUCUACCGCCUGGGGACUACGGCCGCAAGGUUA
rnacentral:rRNA from 1 species